ensembl:lncRNA LINC01255 long intergenic non-protein coding RNA 1255
UGGUGUUCUGUGCCGCUGUAUAAAGAGUCUGACCAUCCUAAGACCACCAUGUUGUGAGGAGCCCAAGCCACAUGGAGAGGUCACAUAGAUGUUCCAGUGACAGCCCCAAAUGAGGGUCUGCUGACAACCAGCAUCAGCCACCACACACACAGAUGAUAACAUCUCCAGGACUCUAGUUCCCAGAUGCCUGCAUAUCCCCAGGCUCUGAAUCCUCCAGCGGAGGCCCAGACAUUGUGGAGUACAUGCAACCCAUGCCAGCCCUGUCAUGUCCUGUCUGAAUUCCUCACCCACAGUAGUCAGAGCAUAUAAAAUGGUUGUUCUAUGCCACUACAUUUUGGAGUUGUUGGUUUCCCAGCAGCACAAAAUGGAACAGAGGCUUAAGUUUACUCUUACCCUAGAAUUCCAGGAGAUCCUACUGUAUUCUCUUUUAGUCUUCUGUAGAUUUUGAGGAUUUCUACUAGGUUGUGAGGAUUUCUAUCACUUGCUGUCAAACCACUGAAAUUCAUAUUAAAUUGGUAUUCAAAAUGGGGUUGCAGAGAAAAAGUGUCAGAGUGGAUUGGGACCAGCAAGAAGUUAUUGUCCUGGGAUAGAGAGCUGCAAUGCACGUUUAACGAUAGCAGUAUGUCUUGUUCCUUGGGAAUCAGAUGUCUUACUUCAUCAGAUAGCUAGACUUUAGAGGAAUUCAUCAUUUUAAAUGUCAGAAUAUCAGAUUGAGUUAUCGAUUCCUUAUGGCCUUCAGUAAAGGUCAGAGAAGUGGCAAGCCUCAGCCGACGCUGCUCCAUGGAAGUCACCAGAAGAGAAUAGAGGACAGCCCACUGACGCAGAGAAUCAGAGCACAGCAUCCACUAUUAGUUUGGACAAACUGUGGUGGCCACCAGGGGUGUAUGUGUGUGAGAGAGAGAGAGAUUAUGAACUGAUUGAAAAACUGAAGAUUACCAGCAACUGGAAUGAGGAUAUAUAGGAAGGAGGAGCCAGAAAUGUGAGCAAGCCCUUCAGAAUGUACCUUCUCCACCACCAAGUGAAAAUGAAGAUUCCUCCCCUUGUAAUACUCGGUUGGCUGUGAUGCAACAUUUUGGCAAGACUCCAAAGCAGAUUUGCGAAGAAAUGCACCCUGAAACCCAUGCCAAUACUCCAAUCUAUAAUAUCCUGCUCAUGCUCUGAGGUCAUUAAGGAAAAAAAUCAUGAAAAUAGGUGGAGCCCCAGAAUUUCCUCUAAAAAUCAGAAGACUCACAGAGAGAAUCUCCGAGAUGCUCUGGAAGAACAAUGGCCAAGCAAAAUUCUCCCGGAGGACAGAGUCUGUGGCAGUCUUUCUGGGUGACCAGGAAAAUAAAUAGAGCCAUUCGCCUUCAUCUCCUUGAGCUAGCUGUCAGACUAUAUCGACUAAUAUGGAGUCCGUCUAGUUGUGUAUGAGUCUGUGUACAAUUGCAUGUGUGUAUUUGCAGCUUUGAUCCGGAAGCCUUCUAAAAAAGAAACUGAUGGUUGGCUGCCAUCAACACAUUUCCUUUCCUCCAGUUCUGUAUGCAACCAAGCCUGUGUGUCAAGGGUUCCCCUAAGUGUGGAGCUCCAGUUCCAGCAUCAAAGACAAAGCAUAUCAGAAAUGC